UUCUCUUGGCAUUUGUUAUAUGUUGAUUGUUUGAUUUCCUGGUACUAUGUUAUCCUUGUUGGAAAUUGCAAACAGUGUUUUGUGUUAUUGCAACAUCAAAUGAGUCUUUUUUGAGAAGUUAUUAGGAAGAUUCAAAAGAAAAAUUUAAUUGAAUAAUGAAUAUUAUUUAACUAGCAAAGGGAACUCAACUCCGUAUUGAUGGAUAAUGAAUGAAUAAGGUAAGAUUCAAGUACUGAUAUAGAUUUAAAAGAAAGCAGAAAACGAUAUUUAUUUGUAUUAAUGGAAUAGAAGGUUCAAGUACAUAGAUUGAUUUGCAGGAAUAGAAAAUAACAAGCUGUUAGUACUGACUAACAGCCCAAAAGCACUAGGUGCUCCCCAACCACUAUCACUAGUGACCCCACUUCAAUAACAGAAUUCCAAGAUGAUUCUUCUCAAUCAUUGACACCAAUUAUAUAGCCAUCUUCUUAGCCACGUCAUUAUUCUUUUCUUUUGUUCUCUUCCUAGCAUAGAAUUUCCACACUCUUGGCUUAGGCCCAAACUCUUCCAGGCCCACUUCUGUAUUCACAUCUCUAUCACGUAUGAUAGAAGAGACCUGAUUGAAAAUACCAAUAGAUUAGGAAAAUAGAUGGAAAAAAGAUUGAUACCUUGAGACUGUAACAAACAAGCAGUCGUCUGCAACCAAUGGCCACCAGACAACCAAAAAUUAUAAUUGAUAGAGUAUUUGGGGACUCUCGAAUUACCCCUCGUGUAUCCUCUAUAACUCUUACUUCUAGGUCAUAUUGAUCUAGAAGGCUAUCUCAAAUAAUAGUGAUAUUCAUUCAAUUCUUGUUCUUUUCCCUUUGAUGAUUUCUGUUGAAUCUUAUCAUUUCCCAUCUAGAUCCUCUCCAGUCACAUGCUUCUAUUUACUCUGUUUCUCUUCUGUCUGAAUCCUCCAGUUUAAUCGCAUCUUAGUUCCAAUUUCUUCAUUGUCUGUUGUACCACCCAGUGUUAUCAAAUAUCGGACAGGGCGCUGCCAUGGCAGAUUUUUUUGACAACUGCAAUGGCCAAUUUGUGAAGGAUGGUGGCGUUGUGGCAUUUUAUGGGCGGAUAUCGCGGCACCCUAUGGCGGAUUUCUGGCUUUCCGCCAUGGUCCACCAUCUGCCACCGAUAACACCGGUACCGGCUGUCUUCCUACCCCCUCAUACAUAUGAAGCUUCUCAUUAGGCCCUUCACUCUUGAGUUUACUGUUCCUUUCUCUUCUCCUUCUCAUGCUUACAUGCGCAAGGGCUCAAUGAGUUAUCCGUUUUAAGUAGAGAAGUUUAAUGUUUUAUGUUGACUGUUGAGUG